GCCGGGCGUGGUGGUGCACGCCUGUAAUCCCAGCUACUCAGGAAGCUGAGGCAGGAGAAUCGCUUGAACUCAGGAGGCAGAGGUUGCAGUGAGCCGAGAUGGUGCCACUGUGCCACUGUACUCCAGCCUGGGCAACAGAGUGAGACUCUGUCUCAA
rnacentral:SRP_RNA from 1 species